rnacentral:lncRNA from 10 species
GGCCGGGCACUGCCUGCGUGGUCGAGCUGGCUGCCCCCUCAGCCGCCUGCCUUUGUGCCUCCAGCCUCCUUGGCUCCCUGAGUGCCUCACUUUGCCUUCUCCCCUGUUUCUCCCACCUCUGAGGCCGAGUAGCAGAAGUCAGAAGCUGGUGUCCAAGAGCCCCAAGAAGCAUGGUUAUGUCCCCUGAAGCCCUGGUCCACAUGAAGCUCUUCCUGCUUUUCUUCAGAGGAAGAUGCAGGAGCUGGUUAAUGGAAUGGAUUUUGCAUUCAGACAUCUCUUGGGGCUGCCUGUAGGUGGAUAUGUUCAUGGAAGACGGUGAAAAAGACAAGAAUAGGAUUUGCUGUAUAGAAUCACUAUAGUCACCAUCACACUGAGUAUCAACAACAUCUCUUGUUAUCCUCACAACUGUGCAAAACAGAGACAGAGUGUUGCUAUAUCAUGCAGGCUGGUCUCAAGCAGUCCUCCCACCAUGGCCUCCCAAAGUGCUGGGAUUACAGGCGUAAGAUACCAUGCCCUGCCUUCAUGUUUUUUUGUUUUUGUUUUUUAAAUACCAUCAGCACCAUUUUGGUGAACUACACAGCAUAUAAGAAAAAUAAUCCCUUGCUUUUGCCGCAAGUAACAUUUUAUAAUGGCAGAAGAGGCAACCCUGGCAGGCUUCGCUAUAUUUCCUGUAGAACUUCCUACCAGCGUUGGCUAAAAGGAUGCUGAAGACCAAUUGGGGCAGAGCAAGAUUACGAUAUUGUAGAUAUCCGACAGAGAGAAAGAGAAUGUGAUUGACUCUUAACUAGAGUCACGCACCACUCUGGAUCAAUCAUCUGAGGCCUGGGAGAAGUGUCAUAACACAGAAUAAAAGCUUCAUGAGUGCAAGAACUACGAUUAUCUUGUAGACAGGGUAGAGGCUAGCCUAAACUAGAUUCCUGUGCACCUCUGCGUGAAUUAGAAAAAAACACCCUCUCCAAAAAGGUGGGUUAGAAAAAGUCACAUCUUCUUGGUAGAUGCCGGUUGCAUGGGUUCAUAGCUUUGACGAGUGGAUUUCAACCCCUCGCUUUUCUUCGGCAUGUCGUACAAGAACUUCAGAAAUAUAUGUUGCAGCCCUGCUUGUCUAGUGCUAUUUGGGAUCACCCCUGGCACAUAGUGAAUGAAUCAAUAUGAUACCGUAAUUGAAUAAGAGGAGACCAUAAUACCCUCUUAGACCUACCAAACAAUCCAUGUUAUACAGCAAUAUCUUAUAUAGGAACAACAACAAUAAAAAACCUUGGAAGGCCUUUGAGACCAACCUUGAUUCCCUUACAGACCAGCUAGAGCCAGUCAGAGGCUCACAGCUGGAACACAACAGCACUUCAAUAGCACAGUAACCAAUUGAGGCUGACUUCUGUGACCUUCUGAUAUUUCAUAAAUGCACCAGCCGCAGGAACUCUUAUUUAAGUACUCCUGUUAGCCUUGUUCUUGCCUACUGACUUUACAGCCCCCUGUACAUGGCUGGGCUAGUGGGACGGAAGCCUUCCAACUGAGCAUCCCUUGCUAGAGGUCCUGUGAGUCCUGACAAAGCCUGUCUCCUGCCUUUUAAGAAUAGCAGAGUCAAAUAAAAUCUUGCCAGUGACUUUGGCCCACGCGUGGAGUGACGCCGACGGAUCUGCCUGAAAUGGAGACAUUAAAGAAUUUUGCAAAGCAAAGAAAAACCCACGGUUGCUUCCAUAAAUCAAAACUUCAAAUAAGAACGCAGCUUUAGCAAUUCAUUCCCUGCAGAAUUAACCUUUGUUUCCCGGCAGGCUGCUUCUAAGAAUAUGCUUCGUGCCUAAAAGGAAAUAGGAGAGCCCUUACAGAAUGGGUUUUAUGUUUACCACGCAGGAGGAAAAGCUGAAAUGAAAGCAAAGUUGAAAAGGAAGCUUGUUUCUAACUAAUCCAGCCUCUAGAUAGAAGUCCUAAGAUGCAAAAGCAAUUAUCAUAUACAUGAAUCUGUGUCCCUACUCACAGAUGCACAAAUGCCACUUCUUCGUCUGCUGUUUCUGUAACUUACUCCUGGCAAGGAUAACAGAGUUCUGGGGACUGGAAAAGGACUCAUCAUCCAGAUUCUUCUCUUCUUUAGGAUUCAACUUGGGACCUCCUCCUGGAAGUCCUCCUGGAUUUGAGAAGUACCCUUCCCCUGUGUCCCCAUAAAACCCUAUGAAUUUCUUUAUUAUUGAAUUUGUCACAUUGUAUUACAGUUAUCUGUUCAUGCGUCAAAGACAAGGGUAUUUUAUUUGACUUUAAAAAAAUCAUUAAAGUCAAAUACUUAGCACAUUGUCUGGAAUAGAAUGACAUCUCAGUAAGGUCUUAAUGAAAUAGUCAAUGGACCAUUCUGUUAACAGUUGCCUAUCGAACUCAUACUAUUUGUUGUCACUCUGCCACACACUAAGACUGUAUACAAGAAAUAUAACAUGUAAUAACAGUGGUUGCUAUCAUUUUUGAAUAUCUAUUCCAAGUCAGGUACUCUGCUAAUUGCUUUACAAAUGGGUUUCACCUGAAUACGUCGCAGCAGCUAUGACCUUCAUUUCAUAGAUCAGACUGAGACCAUAGUAGAUGAACUGACUUUUCCCCAAAGACACACAACAGGCAAGAGGAAGAACCGGGAGUUGAACCAGUCUCCAAAUCCUCUGAUCUAUUACCCUAUAGGAGUUUGCUUCUCUGACCUUAAGAAACAUGUGAUAUAAUGGGGGUUCGGUGGAGUGGUGUCAAAAGUACAAUGCAUUUGAAAUGCUGGAAAACCAUUAAGUGUCAGACGGUAGGGUGGUGCCUUCAUGGAGAAACAGGGAUCAACGAAGCAGGAGCUCCCUGUGUACUGGAUUAAUCAAGGAAAGAUUCAUGGCGGGUCCAGAACUUGAACUAAAAUCAGAAUGGAAUUUAAAUAUAUGGAGAAGAGAAGGUAAAGUAGAGAAACUUACGUUCAUUGAGUACAGAACAUUGGUCUUGGUAAAGAGAUUGGGUUUUGAAACUGGCAGAAUCUGGCACUGAAUUCAAACCUGCUAUUUUAAAGCUGUGAGAACUUUUGCAAUUUGCCCAACCUUUUGAGCCUCUCCACCACCAUAUGUAAAUAGGCAUAGUAAGACCUCUGGUAUCAGUUAAGAAUGCUUUCAUAUGCAAGUAAAAGACAUGUUGAAAAAUGGUGUAAAACAUAAGGACACAUAUGCAUCUCAGGGUUUGUUGAGUAAUUCAGUGGUGUUAUCAAGAACUCAGGCUCUUUUUGUACAUGCGGUCUCCCAUGCCCAGCUGUUAACUCCUCAUCCUUAUGUGUGAAAGAUGGCUGCCACAGAACCAGCCAUUGCAAUCACAUUCCAAGGCAGAAAGGAGGAGUAUGGGAAGUGCUAACACAACUUGUCCUUUUUAUCAGGAAACUAACUAACGCCUUCCCAAACACUCUUCUUUAGGAAUUUCUCCCCUUUUAUUUCAUGGAACAAAGCUGGGUCUCAUGUUGACUCUGAGCUGCAGGGAGAAUCUAUCUAUCUGCAGCUAUCUAGCCUGACUUUAUUCUCUCCAUAGUAGGAGGUAAGUAGAGGAAAACAGGUUGAGAAUGGCUUUUGGGAUAGCCAAACAAGAGCACUGGCCGUGCCUACCUCACUGGCAGUUUAAGGAUCCAGGAAAAAGAUGCAAGUAAAAGAGCAGUGAAGCACUCAUAGAAAGCAGCCAGGACAUGCUGCUCUGGGGAAACGUUGGACAAAACCAUGAUUAGGCUGGGUGCGGUGGCUCACGACUGUAAUCCCAACACUUUUGGAGGCCAAG